GCGGCAUGCUUUACACAUGCAAGUCGAACGGCAGCACGGACUUCGGUCUGGUGGCGAGUGGCGAACGGGUGAGUAAUACAUCGGAACGUGCCUAGUAGUGGGGGAUAACUACUCGAAAGAGUAGCUAAUACCGCAUGAUAUCUGCGGAUGAAAGCAGGGGACCUUCGGGCCUUGUGCUACUAGAGCGGCUGAUGGCAGAUUAGGUAGUUGGUGGGGUAAAGGCUUACCAAGCCCGUGAUCUGUAGCUGGUCUGAGAGGACGACCAGCCACACUGGGACUGAGACACGGCCCAGACUCCUACGGGAGGCAGCAGUGGGGAAUUUUGGACAAUGGGCGAAAGCCUGAUCCAGCAAUGCCGCGUGCAGGAUGAAGGCCCUCGGGUUGUAAACUGCUUUUGUACGGAACGAAAAGCCUGAGGCUAAUAUCCUCGGGUCAUGACGGUACCGUAAGAAUAAGCACCGGCUAACUACGUGCCAGCAGCCGCGGUAAUACGUAGGGUGCAAGCGUUAAUCGGAAUUACUGGGCGUAAAGCGUGCGCAGGCGGUUUUGUAAGACAGUGGUGAAAUCCCCGGGCUCAACCUGGGAACUGCCAUUGUGACUGCAAGGCUGGAGUGCGGCAGAGGGGGAUGGAAUUCCGCGUGUAGCAGUGAAAUGCGUAGAUAUGCGGAGGAACACCGAUGGCGAAGGCAAUCCCCUGGGCCUGCACUGACGCUCAUGCACGAAAGCGUGGGGAGCAAACAGGAUUGUAGUCCACGCCCUAAACGAUGUCAACUGGUUGUUGGGAAUUAACUUUCUCAGUAACGAAGCUAACGCGUAAGUUGACCGCCUGGGGAGUACGGCCGCAAGGUUAAAACUCAAAGGAAUUGACGGGGACCCGCACAAGCGGUGGAUGAUGUGGUUUAAUUCGAUGCAACGCGAAAAACCUUACCCACCUUUGACAUGGCAGGAACUUACCAGAGAUGGUUUGGUCCUGCACACAGGUGCUGCAUGGCUGUCGUCAGCUCGUGUCGUGAGAUGUUGGGUUAAGUCCCGCAACGAGCGCAACCCUUGCCAUUAGUUGCUACAUUCAGUUGAGCACUCUAAUGGGACUGCCGGUGACAAACCGGAGGAAGGUGGGGAUGACGUCAAGUCCUCAUGGCCCUUAUAGGUGGGGCUACACACGUCAUACAAUGGCUGGUACAAAGGGUUGCCAACCCGCGAGGGGGAGCUAAUCCCAUAAAGCCAGUCGUAGUCCGGGUCUGCAACUCGACUGCGUGAAGUCGGAAUCGCUAGUAAUCGUGGAUCAGAAUGUCACGGUGAAUACGUUCCCGGGUCUUGUACACACCGCCCGUCACACCAUGGGAGCGGGUCUCGCCAGAAGUAGGUAGCCUAACCGCAAGGAGGGCGCUUACCACGGCGGGGUUCGUGACUGGGG
rnacentral:rRNA from 1 species